rnacentral:rRNA from 1 species
UGGUACCUACGGGGGGCAGCAGUGAGGAAUAUUGGUCAAUGGUCGGGAGACUGAACCAGCCAAGCCGCGUGAGGGAUGAAGGUACAGAGUAUCGUAAACCUCUUUUGUCAGGGAACAAAGGCGGGGACUAGUCCCCGGAUGAGGGUACCUGAAGAAAAAGCAUCGGCUAACUCUGUGCCAGCAGCCGCGGUAAUACGGAGGAUGCGAGCGUUAUCCGGAUUUAUUGGGUUUAAAGGGUGCGCAGGCGGCCUGUUAAGUCAGCGGUAAAAGCCCGGGGCUCAACCACGGCGAGCCGUUGAAACUGG